AACAAAACUGAUCGAUGUAUUGCCAAAGGCUCGUAUCGAGCCUUGCUCUUUUCUCUUUAUUGCUUUGAUCCUUUUUCGUUGGUUUGUUUACAGGGGGUAUACAUGUAUAUAUACUACUAGAGCCAGCUACCUUAGCUAAACCGACUCGGUUAUCAACUCUUAGUACUAUACGGACACAGACACAACAUUGGAGACGCACCAUGUCGUGCUUACCUAACAUUCACCCCCUAAGCAUGACGUGGUUGUCACUAUCGACCUGGGUCCCAAAUGCGAUUACUAUUCACAGACAUUAUCUUUGACAUUGCUUUUGUCAUUCUAUGUGUUAUCUUAGGGACUAACUUUACUGCCGUCAGCCUAUCCAUAGCUUGAUGGCAACACUCCUUGGUCGUGUCUUCAAUCUUCACCUCUUCUUCGGUGCUUGGUAGACUGUCUUUUGGAUACUCGAGGGGACAUCUUUUGAACCCAUGUGAGGCCAAACUUCGGUCUAACUUUGCGUUCCAAGCUCUUGGCGCUUGCUUCAGCCCUGAAAGUGCCUUCUUGAGCUUGAAAACUUUCCCUUCUUCUCCUUUCUUCUCGUAGCCGAGGGAUUGUUCCAUGUACACUUCUUCUGUGAGGUCACCGUUGAGGAAAGUGGAUUUAACAUCGAUAACUCACAAGUAUAGGGGAUUGCAAUAGUUUUCGAGGGUAGAGUAUUCAACCCAAAUUUAUUGAUUCGACGGAAGGGGAGUCAAAGAAUAUUCUCAAGUAUUAGCAGCUGAGUUGUCAAUUCAACCACACUUGGAAACUUAGUAUCUGCAGCAAAGUAUUUAGUAGGAAAGUAAUAUGAUAGUAGUGGUAACGGUAGGAAAAGGUAACAGUAGUAAAAGUAAUGUUUUUGGUAUUUUGUAGUGAUGAUAGCAAUAGCAACGGGAAAGUAAAUAAGCGAAGACCAAUAUAUGGAAAGCUCGUAGGCAAUGGAUCGGUGAUGGAGAAUUAUACCGGAUGUGGUUCAUCAUGUAACAGUCAUAACCUAGGGUGACACAGAAUUAGCUCCAGUUCAUCAAUGUAAUGUAGACAUGUAUUCCAAAUAUAGUCAUAUGUGCUUAUGGAAAAGAACUUGCAUGACAUCUUUUGUCCUACCCUCCCGUGGCAGCGGGGUCCUUACGGAAACUAAGGGAUAUUAAGGCCUCCUUUUAAUAGAGUACCGGAACAAAGCAUUAACACAUAGUGAAUACAUAAACUCCUCAAACUACGGUCAUCACCGGUAAGUAUCCCGAUUAUUGUCACUUCGGGGUUAACGGAUCAUAACAUAUAAUAGGUGACUAUAGACUUGCAAGAUAGGAUCAAGAACUCUCAUAUAUUGAUGAAAAUAUAAUAGGUUCAGAUCUGAAAUCAUGGCACUCGGGCCCUAGUGACAAGCAUUAAGCAUAGCAAAGUCAUAGCAACAUCAAUCUCAGAACAUAGUGGAUACUAGGGAUCAAACCCUAACAAAACCAACUCGAUUACAUGAUAGAUCCCAUCCAACCCAUCACCGUCCAGCAAGCCUACGAUGGAAUUACUCACGCACGACGGUGAGCAUCAUGAAAUUGGUGAUGGAGGAUGGUUGAUGAUGACAAUGGCGACGGAUUCCCCUCUUUGUAGCCCCGAACGGACUCCAAAUCAGCCCUCCCGAGAGGUUUUAGGGCUUGGCAGCGGCUCCUUAUCGUAAAACGUGAUGAAUUCUUCUCCCUAAUUUUUUUCUCCCCGAAACACAAUAUAUAGAGUUGGAGUUGGAGUCGGACGAGCUCCAGGGGGCCCACGAGGCAGGGGGCGCGCCCUAGGGGGGCAGGCACGCCCCCACCCUCGUGGACAGGUGGUGGGCCCCCUGGUCUUCAUCUUUUGCAGGUAUUUUUUAUAUUUUCCAAAAGGUUGCUCCGUGAAGUUUCAGAUCAUUCCGAGAACGUUUGUUUCUGCACAUAAAUAACACCAUGGUAAUUCUGCUGAAAACAGCGUCAGUCCAGGUUAGUUCCAUUCAAAUCAUGCAAGUUAGAGUCCAAAACAAGGGCAAAAGUGUUUGGAAAAAUAGAUACAAUGGAGACGUAUCAAACAUACAUAUGAUGAACCUUCCAAUCCUCUUGUGCUGCCAAACCUAGGAGCACUAUCACCGUCUCGAGUCGAGCAACCGGUGCAAACACCUCCUCAUACAUAGCGUGCGUCCACCUAGAACUCUUGCUCGCCUCUACGAAGUUCGCUGGCUCCUCAACUCCGAGCAAACAUAGUCCGGAGUACUCAAGCAUAACCGGCUUUGCAUACUUGUAGAUUUUCUUGAGGGUCUUGUAGCGACGAGGCCUAGAAGAAAUCCGUUGUGGCUUGCGAAGGAGGCAACACAAAUUGUGUCGGUGUCGAUGCACUUGAGGAAGACGGUUGAGUAUCGGGCAUAGUGGAUGCCGGAUCAUUGGCAUCCGCGUCGUUGACAUUCACGUCAUCGGCGUAGUCGUCGUGACCGUGACUUUCAUCUUGAUUGUCGUUGUCACUAUGCGCCUCAUUGUCGAUGUCGUUGUCGAGAUCUCUACUCGUGUCUUGCGCGUCGUUGUCGCUAUCACCUUGCGACCCAUGCGCGUCGUCGUUGGUGUCGACACCAUGGUGAUCACUACCAUUGCGGACACCAUGGUUGGGCGUCUUGCCAACCACCUAUACGUCCUCCCCUGCAUCAUCAUCAGUUGGAAAUUCAACCGUGAAUAUAUUACCAUUUGGAGCAUUGUUGGCCGUUGUGCUCCAAUUCCACGCUUGGUUUUCUUCAAACACGACGUCGCGUGGAAUCCGUAGACGCUUGGUUCAUGGAUCGUAGAAGCGGUAUGCCUUGGUGCCGGAACUCCUCUCGUAUCCGAUGAACACCAUCUUGGUGCUGCGAUCGGCAAUCUUUGAGAGAUGCGGCUCCGCCAUGUGCCACACACCCAAACGUCCAUAGAUGAGACACAUUCGGCUUCCGUCCGUAAAUUGCUUCAUACGGAGUCUUGAAGAUCACCGCCUUCGUUGGAGCUCGGUUGAGAAGAUAGACUGCCAUCGAGACAGCUUCUCCCCAAAAAGUCCCUGGCAGGUUCUUGCUCUUGAGUAAACUUCUUGCCAUGUCAACGACGGUUCGAUUGCGCCUUUCAACAACCCCGUUAUGCUGCGGUGUAUAAGGUGUCGUGAGGAACCUCUUUAUGCCAAUCUUCUCGUAGUAGUCGUUGAAGUCGUUCGACGUAAACUCUCCGUCGCGAUCUGUCCGUAGAGCGCGAACCUUCAGCUUGUGUUCCAUCUCCGUGGCAGCCUUCAGCUUCUUAAACGCUUCAAACACCUCAUCUUUAGAUCGUAGGAGAACAACCCACAUGUAUCUCGAGUAGUCAUCUACCACAAGGAAAGAAAUACUUCUUUCCUCCGUGAGUCGCCGGGGUGAUAGGGCCACAUAGAUCACCAUGGAGCAGCUCGAGUGCAUCACUUGCAUGAUAGGUAGACUGAGCAGGGAAUGGCCUGCGGUGCUGUUUUCCAACCAAGCACCCAUCACAUACUCGAUCAACAUGGUCGAUAAACGGCAUCCCAGAUACCAUCUCCAUCUUCGACAUCUUCUUUAAGGCUUAGAAGUUGACGUGUCCAAAUCUAGCAUGCCAUAACCACAAAUCAUCAUCACUCUUGGCGAGCCAACACUCCGGUUGAGAUUGAUCAAGGUUGAGGAUAUAGAGCCUAUUCUGUGUGCGAUUAACACGGGCUAGCACGUUUCGGAGGUUGUCGAAGAUCGUCAUCACUCCAUUCUCAAUAUCCACCUUGCAUCCAUUCUCAUCAAGUUUCCUGACAGAGAUGAUGUUGUUGCAAAGCCGUGGGAUGUAGUAUACUCUGGUGAGUAUGCGAUGUUCUCCUAUGAGACCCUCGAAGAGGACAGAACCUUGCCCGCAAAUCUCCACAUUUGAACCAUCACCGAACUUGACCGAGCCUUGAACAUCAUAUUCUAGCUCGAGGAACUUCUCCUUGCACCCGUCAUGUGGUUACUGGCACCUGUGUCUAGAUACCACGACACGUUCUGGCUUCCGGAUAACUUUGGUGUUACCUUUUUCUCAUGAAGUAGCACCUUCCGGCUUGGUUUCACAACCACCGUUUGGACGAGAUCACAAACUUUGGCCAUCAGAAGACCUGGACGUUCGUCUUCCUACUUUGCCAAAUUUGCCUUGAUCUCCCCUUUGUUAGGCUUCAUGAGAUCACAAACUUCGGCCAUCAGAAGACCUGGACGUUCGUCUUCCCGCUUCGCCAAAUUUGCCUUGAUCUCCCGCUUGUCAGGCUCCAGACAAUCCUUUGCAAAGUGACCCAUCUCGUUGCAGUAUAGCACUUGAUCUCGGACAUAUCCAAGUUCCGUGGCUUCCGCUCUUUAGAUCGGUCCGCCUUACCACGACCUUGUGGCUUGCCUUUUCCUUUGCCUUCUUCGGUUUGUCCGCCGCGCUUCGCGUUGCUUGAGCCUUCGCCAACAUUGCGCCUUCCUUUGCUACUUGGGGACUCCCAAUCUGCGCGUGAGUACAUGAGUUGGUCACUACCUCCUCCGUUGCCUUUUCAACAACCACGAGCAUUCUCUUCCCAUGUUCGCAAGCAUCCGAUCGCCUCCGUUAUGGUCAUGUUGUCGAUGUCGUAAAUCUGCUCAAGCGUGCCGAUGAUGUACGUGAAUUUAUCAGUCACCAAACUGAAACACUUCUCCAUAAUCUCGGUCUCCUCGAGCUUUGCACCAAGCGCGCGGAUCUCUCCCACCAAAGUAGUCAAAUGCAUGGCAUAGUCGUUCACCGAUUCAGUUUCCUCCAUCUGCAACUUGUGAAAUUGGCGCUUCAGCACUUGUGCCCGAGCCUUCAUGAUGCGAUCUUCUCCGAUCCUCAUCUCUUUGAGUGCGUUCCAUGCCUCUCUUGCUGUCUCGAACUCCGCCAAUGUCAUCAGCACGGAAUCUGGCACAGACUUGGCUAUGGCGGCCAUGGCACCUUCGUCGCACUCCUCGUCGACGUCGUCGUCCGUGAUGGCCUCCCACACUCGAAGGGUUAGGAGAAUGAUCUUCAUCUUCACUGCCCACACGCCGUAGUUGGCGUCGGUGAGCAUCGGGUACUGGAUGGGGAUGUUGCGAUGCGCCAGUACGUUGGCACCGCCCAUUCCGCCACCACUAGUCGCUGAUUUGACGCCCUUCUUCACCUUGUCACCAUUCUUGGAACCGCCGUUGCCUCGCUGUCCGUCAUCGUAGAUCGUUGAGGCUCUAGAUACCAAUUGUUGGCUUUUGAACGCUAGAUCAAAUCACCCGGAGCAAACACACGUACAUGUAAAGCUGGCUUGUAAGCUAGCAAGCAAGCUCCUUAAUUGAUUUCUCUAUCAAUGGCAUGCUAGCACACUUCGUGUUGCACCUGGUAAGCUUGCUGCCUAGCGAUUGGAUUGAUUCUAUCACGACGGAACGUCUCGGCAACAACUCACGUAGCUCCAUGGAACGAACACUAACAAAACUGAUCGAUGUAUUGCCAAAGGCUCGUAUCGAGCCUUGCUCUUUUCUCUUUAUUGCUUUGAUCCUUUUUCAUUGGUUUGCUUACAGGGGGUAUACAUGUAUAUAUACUACUAGAGCCAGCUAACUUAGCUAAACCGACUCGGUUAUCAACUCUUAGUACUAUACGGACAUAGACACAACAUUGGAGACGCACCAUGUUGUGCUUACCUAACAGAUGCUCCGCCUCCACGCGCUCGCACCAGCUGUUGCCGCGUCUGCCACGCCGACUCCGGCUCGCCGUCCCGCGCCGGCUGCUCCUCCGCCGUCGCCGGCUCCCCCGCGCCCGUGGCCUCCUGCUCCGCUCCCGCUGCGCCGGCUAUGGUGCCCCGACGCCUCCCCGCGCUGGCUUGGCUGCGUGCAGACCCAGCCGGGUGGUCGC
rnacentral:lncRNA from 1 species